UACGGAGGGUGCGAGCGUUAAUCGGAAUUACUGGGCGUAAAGCGCGCGUAGGCGGCUUUGCAAGUCGAUUGUGAAAUCCCCAGGCUUAACCUGGGAACUGCAUUCGAGACUGCAUAGCUAGAGUAUGGGAGAGGGAAGUGGAAUUUCAGGUGUAGCGGUGAAAUGCGUAGAUAUCUGAAGGAACAUCAGUGGCGAAAGCGACUUCCUGGACCAAUACUGACGCUCAUGUGCGAAAGCGUGGGGAGCAAACAGG
rnacentral:rRNA from 1 species